rnacentral:rRNA from 1 species
AACGAACGCUGGCGGCAUGCCUAACACAUGCAAGUCGAACGAGACCUUCGGGUCUAGUUGCGCACGGGUUCGUAACGCGUGGUAACCUGCCCUUAGGUUCGGAAUAACUCCCCGAAAGGGGUGCUAAUACCGGUUAAUGUCUUCGGACCAAAGAUUUAUCGCCUUUGGAUGGGCCCGCGUUGGAUUAGCUAGUUGGUAGGGUAAAAGCCUACCAAGGCGACGAUGCAUAGCUGGUCUGAGAGGAUGAUAAGCCACACUGGGACUGAGACACGGCCCAGACUCGUACGGGAGGCAGCAGUGGGGAAUAGAGGAAAAUGGGGGAAAGGAUGAAAAAGCAAUGGCGCGUGAGUGAUGAAGGCCUUAGGGUUGUAAAGCAGUUUUAAACGGGAUGAUAAUGACAGUACCGGGAGAAUAAGCAACGGCUAACUACGUG